GGUUGAUGCUGGAUCAGAUACACUGUAGAUGGUUUCUGGAGACCACCUCUGAAUCCUCUUGUACUGUGGACAUAAAAGUCGGUGUACAUUUUAAGAAGUGGUGUAUCAUGCAAUCGAAGAUAAAGACGGGAACUAUCAACGAGUACAAGAAGGAAAUGGAGAUGAUGUUGGAUGUGGCCCACUCGUAUCUUAAGUCCAAAACUUUUGAUGGUGAUGUUGAUGAAUCCUUGUCUCUCUCUCCGUAAAACAAAGAGCUGUGUCAUGGAUCUUCAUAGCAUCAAGCAUUUUGUAAUUUUGUGCCAUUUUCCCCAUAGGAUUGGGCCAUUAUAACUCAAGCAUGUAGACUAUUUUGCCUCCCUCCUCUGAGAAGUCUGAAACCCACCCGCUUUUCAUUGGAAGCAAGCAUGUCCGUUAC